AUAUAAUCAAAAGUUUAUAAUGUUAUAAAUUGAAAUAUUAUUAUGUUUAUAUAUAUGCAUAUGAUGUAGAUAUAUGUACAUAUAUUUUUUGUUAUUUUAUAAUAAAAAGUUUAUUUUUAAUAAGAUAAAAAAAAAAAAAAAAAAAAAAAAAACGUAUCAUUUGGUAUAAUUUAAACCAACACAAUUUGUGCUUAAUUGUAAUAAACUAAAUUAUUUGGCUUUUUCAUUGUCGAAUCUUAUGUUUACCAAUAAAAAAAAAUUACAUGACAAUUUAACCGAUAUAUGUACGCAUAUAUAUUGUACUCUCUUUUAUUUUAUCGUUAGUGACAUCUUUAAUACAUUGAGGUUAAAAAAAAAAACAAAAAAGCUGCUUAAGUGUAUAUAUGUAUUAUAUAUUAUAUAUAUAUAUUUAUAUAUACAUAUAUAUUAUGUACAUAUGUAAUAUGUACAAAUGCCUUAUGUCGUUUCAUUUAUUUUAUCAUUUGCUUGUAUGAUAUUUAAAAAAAAAAAAAAAAAAAAAAAAAAAACGAAUUAAGGUAAAGAAAAUAACCUAUUAAAAAACUAUUUAAACAAUUAAAAAAUAAAAAAAUAAAAUAACACAAAAUGUACAAGAUAUAUAAAGUAUACAAAAAUAUAUAAUACAAUAUCAACCAAUUUUUUUAUUUUUUUUUUCUUAAUAUCAAAUAACUGCAUAUAAAAUAUAAAAAAAACAAAAAAAUAAAAUACCUAAAAAUUAAUGUAACAUUGAACAUAUCAUUAUAAAGCUUUUUUUUUUUAUUAUUUACUUUUGACUUAACUUUUUUUCAUUUUGGCUUUUUGUUAACAUAUUAUAAAUAUAAUUAUAAACAAAGAAUAAACAAAUUUUUUGUUUUUUUUCAUAUUAUAACAUUCUUAUAACUUUAUUAAAUUAAACGAUUUAUACAAAAAUGGAUGCAUUAAACCCUCAAUUUGAAAUGAUAGGAAAGCAGUUUGUGAAUCAUUACUUUCAAUUAUUUAAUACAGGAAGAAACGAAUUGGCAUCUUUAUACAAAGAUGUAAGUAUGAUGAGUUUCGAAAAUGAUCAAUGCAAGGGAACUAGUCAAAUAUUAGAAAGACUAAAUAAAUUACCUCAAACAGUAGUUCAUAAAUGUUUAAGUUUAGAUAUUCAACCAACUCAUAAUAAUGGGAUUUUAAUAUUAGUUUGUGGUGAUAUAGUUAUAGAAGAAAAU
rnacentral:lncRNA from 1 species